rnacentral:lncRNA from 1 species
UCUGAAAUGUUUAAAUCAUUAAAACAUCAUGGUCAAGUCAACAAAAAAAGUCAUGGUCAAGUAGUCAACAACAAAAAUCAUUUGCGUGGUCAGGAAUAGCGUUCCAUCGCACACCAUUUCUGCCCAAGCCUGCAUUAUAUAUUCAAGCUAGCAUAGCAGAGACAUAAUACUUUUUUUUGGAGUUUUCUUGAAGUCACAUUUUAUAUACAGUUCAUGCUGCCGUUUUGGGUUAGGAUUUUAUCAUAUGACAAUAGGGCUUGUUUUUUUGACACUUUUUCUGUUUGUCAUCUUGGUUUUUUAUUAUUCGAACUCUGGUGAUUCCGAAGAGUUUUUAAAAUAAAAGUGGUUUUAAAGGUUUUCAUCAGAAGGCUUUUGACCGCCAUGUUUUGGGACAAUCCUCAAAUGAUCACAAGUCAUAUUCGACAUUCCUGUGUUACAAGUGACUAUACAGGAAUGUGUGAAAUGGUGAUUGUUCAAGAUGAAGAAGAUGCUUUUAUAACAAAACAGAACAAACGCUUAGGAAAGCUAAACAAUGAA